CGAAGCGUGCGAUUGGAUUGCACGUCUAAGCAGUAAGGCUGAGUAUUAGGCAAAUCCGGUACUCGUUAAGGCUGAGCUGUGAUGGGGAGAAGACAUUGUGUCUUCGAGUCGUUGAUUUCACACUGCCGAGAAAAGCCUCUAGAUAGAAAAUAGGUGCCCGUACCGCAAACCGACACAGGUAGUCAAGAUGAGAAUUCUAAGGUGAGCGAGCGAACUCUCGUUAAGGAACUCGGCAAAAUGACCCCGUAACUUCGGGAGAAGGGGUGCUCUUUAGGGUUAACGCCCAGAAGAGCCGCAGUGAAUAGGCCCAAGCGACUGUUUAUCAAAAACACAGGUCUCUGCUAAACCGUAAGGUGAUGUAUAGGGGCUGACGCCUGCCCGGUGCUGGAAGGUUAAGAGGAGUGGUUAGCUUCUGCGAAGCUACGAAUCGAAGCCCCAGUAAACGGCGGCCGUAACUAUAACGGUCCUAAGGUAGCGAAAUUCCUUGUCGGGUAAGUUCCGACCCGCACGAAAGGCGUAACGAUUUGGGCACUGUCUCAACGAGAGACUCGGUGAAAUCAUAGUACCUGUGAAGAUGCAGGUUACCCGCGACAGGACGGAAAGACCCCGUGGAGCUUUACUGUAGCCUGAUAUUGAAAUUCGGCACAGCUUGUACAGGAUAGGUAGGAGCCUUUGAAACGUGAGCGCUAGCUUACGUGG
rnacentral:rRNA from 1 species